rnacentral:misc_RNA from 1 species
AACGCACAUUGCGCCCGCCAGUAAUCUGGCGGGCAUGCCUGUCCGAGCGUCAUUUCGACCAUCAAGCCUGCGGCUUGUGUUGGGGACCUGCGGCUGCGCGCAGGCCCCGAAAACCAGUGGCGGGCUCGCUGUCACCCCGGGCGUAGUACGAUACCUCGCCAAGGGCGUGCCGCGGGCGCCGGCCGUAAAGACCAGCCCUCGGGCUACCCAACAGGCUUGACCUCGGAUCAGGUAGGAAGACCCGCUGAACUUAA